UCCCCCCACUGACUGAUGGCGCACCUUCACCUCCCUAAGAUCCAUUCUGACCCCUAGCUAGGGGUGAUGCUGCUCUAAAUUGUUCUUGAGAUCUUUGUUGUCGACCUCUACUUAUAUGCAUGGAAUAAUCCUUUUUGAGAUAAUCCGGGUUACUACACUCAUAACAAAACCUGGACCCAUCAACUAUUGAGAAUUUCCUAAAUACCCAGAGGCCACCAUGUCCUAAAAGCCCCUGAUCUGAAACUUGAGAAGACUGCCUUAAGCCAUGAGUAACUCGUUCAUAAUAUCCACCCUCCGACGCCUACAUCGCUGAAUAAAC
rnacentral:lncRNA from 1 species